rnacentral:lncRNA from 1 species
GAUCAGACCACCUACAGUGAGGUCAUCAAGCUCCGGCACCACGGGAAUAGUCCACCCCAUAGGAUUCAGGUAUGCGGUCAGCUGGCCCAUGGUGACCAAAGGCUCCACGCGAACAACCUGUCUCUCGCUGUCUACUUCCAGAACGUCCAUCAGGUUGAUCAUGAUGUUCUUAUGGGUCUUCUUGUACUUCCCAACACGCAGUGACACAGUCAGCCAGCCGGGCCGGCCGGUGCACAUAUAUCUCCUGCCACCUUCCUCCUUCCACUCCCGCACCUGCUCCUGGAUGUGCCGGACGCGCUGCCCGUGCAGCCGCGGAGCGCUGUGCAUCCGCCGCACGGCCCACGCGCGCAGCUGGUAGUACACGUCGAAGAGGAUGGAGAGAGGCAUCAGGAAGAAGCAGACGAAGAUCCAGCGGUGGUGCACCAGCACGGCCUCCAGCCCGCGGUGCCUCACCCACAGCAGCAGCAGGAGCAACCCCGCGCCCAGCGACCACACCGCCGACAUGGCGACCGCACCGCACCGCACCGCACCGCACCGCACCGCACCGCACCGCACCGCCGGACCCCCGGUGCACCGCGCCCGCCGCUCGCGCGCUCGCCUCCCGGCCCCGCCUCCCCC